AAUACCAAGCCAUACCCCUCACUUCCCAUCACACAAAGGUCCUGUGCCUUGUCUUUGACAAAUGACCCUUAGGUCUCUACUGGCCUUACUGCUUCACAUCUCUACUCAGACUCCCACCCACUGAGCCACACCCUUGCAGAAGGAGCAUCCAUUCUAGGGUGACCCCUCCUCACCCUGAGUGUCCAGAUGGCCCUGAGGCACCCAGUGUGACUGCAGUCAGCCCAGAGGUCACCUUAGGCAGCCUGCCCUGGGCUGUCAGCUGUACCCCCCUUCCCCUGAGGCUCCCCUGCCUGUUAGAGCUUCCCCUGACCCUCCAUGUUCAGAAAGACCCGCCCCAAGCCUUUGACUUUCCAGCCUUCCCGGGAAGACACUCUGAAGUGAGGGCCGGGGGGUUGCUAUUACUCAGAUUUCUACACACCGGACUCCCCAAACUGGAGCGAUUCCAGCACCACCUGGGAGCUAUCAUGCGUCGCGUGCUCCCCUCCCUGGAGAAACACCUGGAGAAGGAGGGUGUGUGCCUUGAGGACUACACCGCCCACUGGUACAUCCAGUGCUUCCUGGAUGGGGUGCCGUUCCCCCUGGCACUUCGGAUGUUCGACAUUUACAUCCUUGAGGGCGCGCACGUACUCACGG